rnacentral:rRNA from 1 species
GACGAACGCUAGCUACAGGCUUAACACAUGCAAGUCGAGGGGUAACGAGAGGAAAGCUUGCUUUCCUUGUCGACGACCGGCGCACGGGUGAGUAACGCGUAUCCAACCUGCCCCCAACUAGGGAAUAACCUUGCGAAAGUAAGACUAAUACCCUAUAAUUUCCUCAGAUGUCAUCUGACGAGGAAUAAAGAUUUAUCGGUUGUGGAUGGGGAUGCGUCUGAUUAGCUUGUUGGCGGGGUAACGGCCCACCAAGGCAACGAUCAGUAGGGGUUCUGAGAGGAAGGGCCCCCACAUUGGAACUGAGACACGGUCCAAACUCCUACGGGAGGCAGCAGUGAGGAAUAUUGGUCAAUGGGCGGAAGCCUGAACCAGCCAAGUAGCGUGCAGGAUGACGGCCCUAUGGGUUGUAAACUGCUUUUAUACAGGAAUAAAGUUAGCCACGUGUGGUUAUUUGUAGGUACUGUAUGAAUAAGGACCGGCUAAUUCCGUGCCAGCCGCCGCGGUAA